rnacentral:rRNA from 1 species
GAAGAAGGCUCUUGGGUUGUAAACUCCUUUUCUCUGGGAAGAACAAAAUGACGGUACCAGAGGAAUCAGCAUCGGCUAACUCCGUGCCAGCAGCCGCGGUAAGACGGAGGAUGCAAGCGUUAUCCGGAAUGAUUGGGCGUAAAGCGUCCGCAGGUGGCAGUUCAAGUCUGCUGUCAAAGACCGGGGCUUAACCUCGGAAAGGCAGUGGAAACUGAACAGCUAGAGUAUGGUAGGGGCAAAGGGAAUUCCUGGUGUAGCGGUGAAAUGCGUAGAGAUCAGGAAGAACAUCGGUGGCGAAGGCGCUUUGCUGGACCAUAACUGACACUCAGGGACGAAAGCUAGGGGAGCGAAAGGGAUUAGAUACG